UAGCAUAUCAUAGCGAGAAAAGAAACUACAAGGAUUUCCCCUAGUAACUGCGAGUGAAGCGGGAAAAGCUCAAAUUUAAAAUCUGGUGGCCUUUGGCCAUCCGAGUUGUAAUUUAGAGAAGCGUCUUCCGCGCUGGACCGUGCACAAGUCUCCUGGAAUGGAGCGUCAUAGAGGGUGAGAAUCCCGUCUUUGGCACGGAUGCCCCGGUGCUUCUGUGAUGCGCUCUCGAAGAGUCGAGUUGUUUGGGAAUGCAGCUCAAAAUGGGUGGUGAACUCCAUCUAAAGCUAAAUAUUGGCGAGAGACCGAUAGCGAACAAGUACCGUGAGGGAAAGAUGAAAAGCACUUUGGAAAGAGAGUGAAACAGUACGUGAAAUUGUUGAAAGGGAAACGCUUGAAGUCAGUCGCGUCGAUCGAGACUCAGCCUUGCCUUGGCUUGGUGUACUUCUCGGCUUGACGGGUCAGCAUCAAUUUUGCWCCUUGGAUAAUGGCAGGGGAAAGGUGGCACCUUUACGGGUGUGUUAUAGUCUCUUGUCGCAUGCGAGGGGUGGGAUUGAGGAACUCAGCACGCACCUCAGUGUCGGGGCUUUUGCCCACGUCACGUGCUUAGGAUGCUGGCGUAAUGGCUUUAAACGACCCGUCUUGAAACACGGACCAAGGAGUCCAACAUGCCCGCGAGUGUUCGGGUGGAAAACCCGUGCGCGUAAUGAAAGUGAAAGUUGGGACCUCUGUCGUGGAGGGCACCGACGCCCGGACCAGACCUUCUGUGACGGAUCUGCGGUAGAGCGUGUGUGUUGGGACCCGAAAGAUGGUGAACUAUGCCUGAAUAGGGUGAAGCCAGAGGAAACUCUGGUGGAGGCUCGUAGCGAUUCUGACGUG
rnacentral:rRNA from 1 species